GACGAACGCUGGCGGCGUGCUUAACACAUGCAAGUCGAACGAAGAGCGAUGGAAGCUUGCUUCUAUCAAUCUUAGUGGCGAACGGGUGAGUAACGCGUAAUCAACCUGCCCUUCAGAGGGGGACAACAGUUGGAAACGACUGCUAAUACCGCAUACGAUCUAAUCUCGGCAUCGAGGAUAGAUGAAAGGUGGCCUCUACAUGUAAGCUAUCACUGAAGGAGGGGAUUGCGUCUGUUUAGCUAGUUGGAGGGGUAACGGCCCACCAAGGCGAUGAUCAGUAGCCGGUCUGAGAGGAUGAGCGGCCACAUUGGGACUGAGACACGGCCCAGACUCCUACGGGAGGCAGCAGUGGGGAAUCUGCCGCAAUGGACGAAAGUCUGACGGAGCAACGCCGCGUGAGUGAUGACGGCCUUCGGGUUGUAAAGCUCUGUUAAUCGGGACGAAAGGCCUUCUUGCGAAUAGUGAGAAGGAUUGACGGUACCGGAAUAGAAAGCCACGGCUAACUACGUG
rnacentral:rRNA from 1 species